GUUUAAGAGACAGCAGCAGCCGCGGUAAUACAGAGGGUGCGAGCGUUAAUCGGAUUUACUGGGCGUAAAGCGUGCGUAGGCGGCUUUUUAAGUCGGAUGUGAAAUCCCUGAGCUUAACUUAGGAAUUGCAUUCGAUACUGGGAAGCUAGAGUAUGGGAGAGGAUGGUAGAAUUCCAGGUGUAGCGGUGAAAUGCGUAGAGAUCUGGAGGAAUACCGAUGGCGAAGGCAGCCAUCUGGCCUAAUACUGACGCUGAGGUACGAAAGCAUGGGGAGCAAACAGGAUUAGAUACCCCCGUAGUCCCUGUCUCUUAUAC
rnacentral:rRNA from 1 species